AUUGAACGCUGGCGGCAGGCUUAACACAUGCAAGUCGAGCGGGGUGAUGGUGCUUGCACUAUCACUUAGCGGCGGACGGGUGAGUAAUGCUUAGGAAUCUGCCUAUUAGUGGGGGACAACAUCUCGAAAGGGAUGCUAAUACCGCAUACGUCCUACGGGAGAAAGCAGGGGAUCACUUGUGACCUUGCGCUAAUAGAUGAGCCUAAGUCGGAUUAGCUAGUUGGUGGGGUAAAGGCCUACCAAGGCGACGAUCUGUAGCGGGUCUGAGGGGAUGGUCAGCCACACUGGGACUGAGACACGGCCCAGACUCCUACGGGAGGCAGCAGUGGGGAAUAUUGGUCAAUGGGGGGAACCCUGAUCCAGCCAUGCCGCGUGUGUGAAGAAGGCCUUAUGGUUGUAAAGCACUUUAAGCGAGGAGGAGGCUCUUUUGGUUAAUACCCAAGAUGAGUGGACGUUACUCGCAGAAUAAGCACCGGCUAACUCUGUGCCAGCCGCCGCAGUAA
rnacentral:rRNA from 1 species